CCUACGGGAGGCAGCAGUGGGGAAUUUUGGACAAUGGGCGCAAGCCUGAUCCAGCAAUGCCGCGUGAGUGAAGAAGGCCUUCGGGUUGUAAAGCUCUUUUGUCAGGGAAGAAACGGUGAGAGCUAAUAUCUCCUGCUAAUGACGGUACCUGAAGAAUAAGCACCGGCUAACUACGUGCCAGCAGCCGCGGUAAU
rnacentral:rRNA from 1 species